rnacentral:rRNA from 1 species
GUCUACAGCCAUACCACCCUGAAUGCGCCCGAUCUCGUCUGAUCUCAGAAGGUAAGCAGGGUUGGGCCUGGUAAGUACUCGGAUGGGAAAAAUCACAGGGAGAAUUGGAAGACUGUUUUCA